CAGGGUUGAUCUAAAGAGAACUUGCCUGGGAGGUUUGCCGCUAUGGUGCUGGCUGGGAGGCUCUGGAGAGCCCAGCAGCACAAAUCGGACUCUUCUGAUCCUUUCUUUCUCUUCAGGAACAGAGACCUGCAUUCCCAAUGAUGCCCAGCCAGUCUGAAGCACCCUGUUCCCUGAGCUUUGGAUCCCUCCCUCCAUUGAGAACAGGAGACCAUGAUGGGGAAAUCGAGGCACGGCCAGGGUGGAUCCGUUCCCAGCGAGUUCUCCUCUGAUCCUAUGCGGAGCUUGGGAGUAGCACUGUGCAUACAAGCAAAACCACCAGGAGUUUGAACAAACUUGCCUCAAACUAUUUAUUAGGCAUCUGGAAACUCUUUGUCAUCCCCACUAUCUAUCUGAGCAGGGCUGUUUGGACCUGGAGGAGCAAUUUAGAUAAAUAUGGAAUCCAGACAAACUCUUGCCUCCUAUAGAUCAGAUGGAGGAGGAAGAUGGAACCAACCUCUCAUCAGUGGAUGCCAGCUGUGAGUGUUUCUUUGGCAGUGUCUUAGCUGGUUGUUGUGAACAAUAGACAAGGAAGCAAUCAGCAAGUAUACUGCCCUAGAAGUGCUGCACAUUGUUGGGCCUGCAUCGCACCUCGUCUUGUCACUGAGUAAGCCUCUAGGUUGGAGCCCUGCCCGCCCCUGCCGGUCCCACCCCAUGCCCUGUUCUGAAUUGGAGGUCAGGGCAGCAAGUGCUUUUGCUGGAAGAAGGGAGAGAAAACGAGGGAAGCUGUCGGGCCUGGAUGACACGGUGACUUGCUUCAUGCAAACAGAUGAAAGAGAAGCCAAGCAAGCUGCUGCUCACUCCCUCCACUUCCACCCACCUGUGCGCUUGUGGAUGCAGGAAAAUAACAUUUCCAGCCAUUGACCGCAAAUGUCAAGGAUGUCGGUAGCACUUUUACCCAUGAGGAAUUAUCUGGGCUCGAGCCUUGGGCUGGUAACAAGGAAACACUGCUUGUGUUUUUUUUUCGCCAUAGGGCCCUGGAGUGGGGCAGCAAG